ACAAAGAGAAGGAAAGAGAUAGAGAGAAAGAAUAAGGAUUAGAGAGAGGGGAGACGAUUCUAUUGGGAAAGAAGGAUAAGGGAGGGAGAAUAGGUAUAUACAAUUCGAUCAAGCAUGUCCUUCAUUAUAAUCUAUGAAGGUGCUUUUAUAGGCCUAGAGAAAACUAAUGCAUGCCUGACAUAAUUCUAUCUGACAUAUGCUUACUUUCAUGAUUAUCUAGAUGCAAAUAAUAAAAUAAAAUAUAAAUGCAACAAAAAAUAAAUAUGUGUUAUAAUUAAAUCUACAUUGCAUUGGUUUAGCCGGUCAAAAAAAAAAAAAUCACCCAAAAUGUUUCUUGAAGUAGAUUAUGGUGGAGGUGGUGGUGAUAUUAAUUCAAAUAUAUUUUAGGUCAUCUUGUGGAACAAUGAAGACAUGCAUGAAUAGAAUCAUAUUAAUCACAGAAAAUACAAGAAAUUAGGAUUUAUCCCUUAUAUGGAUAUAUAGGUUGUUAUACCCCGAGUUCAGAAAGUGGUUGAUAUGACUUGAUGAUCAAAACAUCACACAACAAUAUAAAAAAAUAACAACUUACUCCAAAUAGAUAAAAAAAAAUAACAUAAAGCGAGAUGUUUUUAUUAAAUUGCAAGCAAAACUAGACAAGAAACAAGUUGAUUCACUGUUUGAGAAGUGAAUCGUCUUACCCACAAUUCCUAGCAGCUACUAGAACCCAAAACCUCACAAAACCUGCAACAGAAAUUCAAAACAUAACAUCAAAGCCCCAACCCACCAUAAUAUCCUCCCUUAAACAACUCAAAUGCCCCUAAUAAAUGCCCCUUACAUCUAAUAAAUGACCAUGUCCCAAAGAGUCCCCUCCUUUCCCAAAGAGCUUCCUCCCAAAGCCUCUUCUCCUAUAGGUGAUAAAAGAGAUCCCAGGCCCCACCUAGGCAGUUGGAUUGCUGCUGCCAGCUGCAUCGAUCAAUUCUCCCCACCCAAAAAGUCACCUUGUCCUUAAGGUGAAAAAAGGGAAAAUGAUUCUGAAUAGUAUUGUAGGGCUCUCAUGUCACCUCAUAUUCUGGUAAAUCCUUUCACUCGAUCAGCACCUCCUUGAUCCCCUUAUCUCCUUGGCGCACCCCUUUCACCUCUAAUGAUUCUAAUAUCACCUUCAUAUCCUCUGACAGUGUGGACGGUAGUGCGGGCGAUAGUGUGUGAUUUGCAAUGACUCGUCUCAAUUGCGAUACAUGAAAUAUGGGAUGAAUGGCUUACGUUGGUGGCAAUCGUAGGCGAUAUGCUACUGAGCCAAUGUGCUCCACUACCUCGUAGGGCCCAAAGUAGCAGGGGAGAUAUUCUCAUACAUUUGUUGAGCCAAAGUCCUAUGUCUGUAAGGUCAGAUCUUCAAAUAAAUCAUGUCCCUAACCUUAAACUGCACAUCUAUCCUAUGUACAUCCGCCUGCUUCUUCAUGAUUUAUUGUGCUCUAUGUAGAUGUUCCUUCAAUUCUGCCAAAAUCUGAUCUCUUUCUCCCAAGUAUUGCUCCACUGAUGACACUGGUGUGUUUCCCUGCCCAUAAUGUAUCAGAUGAGGUGGAUCCCUCCUAUAUAGAAUUUUAAAUGACGUUGUUUGGGCUGCUGUAUGAUAUGAAGUAUUAUACCAAAUUUAGCCCAGGCUAACCAUUUGGCCAACAUCUUUGGUGUAUCUGAUACAAAACAACAAAGAUAAGUCUCCGCACUGUGAUUCACCACUUAUGUCUGACCAUUCAUUUGGGGGUGGUAAGUUGUACUCCUCUUCAGGAUAGUCCCCUACAUAUUGGAUAACUUCCUUUAGAAGUAGCUCAAAAAGACAUUGUCCUGAUCAGACACAGUGCACUCGAGUAUGCCAUGCAAAUGAACCACCUCUCUAAUGAACGCAGUUACUACCGACACCACGGUGUAAGGGAAUGAGAUGAGCAUAUUUGCUCAAUCUGUUCGCCACCACUAGAAUCACAAUAAAUCCGUCUAAUCUAGGUAGUCCCUAAAUGAAGUCCAUAGGAGAGAUGUACAGUUUAAGGAUUUUUAUGGUACUUAGGAUUUUUAAAACAGAUCUAACAGGUGAUGUAGAAAACAAUUCAACAAACAAGUUGAGUUUUGCAGGACCAAUAUUCUUUGAGUACACUUAAUUUCUAUCUUUGUUGAAAAAUUGAUCGAGUCCAAUUCAGAUGAAUGAUCUACAACAUGCCAAUAGAAAUUAUGGUUGACUCAUUAUGGAUAACAGAGAAAAUUACUAGUUCCUCUUCAAUAUACCAACUUGACGACUAUAGUUUCAUUGGAAGACUAAAGAUUUCUUUGGUGCAUUCACAAAGAAAACUUACGUGAUGCAAUUUGAUUAGAGAUUAUUCUUUUUUUUUAGCCCGUUGGUGUAUUUGAACACUAUCUGGUUUUUUUCUUUGUUAGUGAAUCAGAUUAUCUCUCCACUCUCAUAGAUGUAGAAUUGGUUGAAGCUGAACAAUAUAAAUCUUGAUAUUAUUUGUGCUGUAUUUUCUCUUUCUCUUCUAUAAUUGAUUCAGGCAUGUCAUUUUCAAUAAUGACGAUGAUUCAGGCAUGUCAUUUUCAAUAAUGACGAUGCUUCCACUUUGUGGCAUUUGUAGUCCUCAUUACAACAAAGGAGGAAUGGAGAGAAAGAAAAGGUGACGAGCAGAUGUCGGAAUUAGGAAAUGAUUGAAACAUCAUUUUCAACAAUGGUGAUGCUUUCACUUUGUGGUUGUCGUAGUCCGCAUUACAACAAUGAGAAACCAAGAGAAAAAGGGUUGAUGAGUGCAUAAAAGCAUAAAGAUAUUCGGUUCUUAACUUAAUGAUGAGCUCCCUCAGCCAAAGCUAGCUUGAUAGUUGCCUCUAUCAAAGCAUUCAAAGUUGUGGGCCUGAAGCUUGAAAGCUAUAUGAAAAGUAGCGAGAUAAAGAUGAAGAGAAGGACAUUUUUUGAAGGAGAGCUUAGAUAUGAUUGAAUGACACUUUCCCAAGGAAAAUAAUGGGAUGUGAUGAUAAUAAAAGACAAAGAAGACAUGUCUGUGUCCAACAAUUCAUUAAGCAGGCAAGCAUGCAUACAGGCCAUGAGAAUUCUGUGAGUGAAUUGGAGAGGAGUAAAAAUUGAAAAUGGUGGUGGGGACCUUUGAUGAAAUUCAAAUCUGUUGGUAAAGAAAUCAGGAAAGUUACGUGAAAGGAGAGAUUAUUCUGUGCGGACACCGGACACAGCUUAUCAUUCAGAUGCGAAUCAGAUUCAGCCAUGUCAUUCAAUACCAAGCUCAGUAUCGAGCUCGGUACCGAGUUGUACCGAGCCGCGGUACUCAGUAGGGGGUGACGUGGCGCAUUUUCAUAGAACUUUGGACUGUAUUCGACGUCCGCACAGAAUAAUUAAUCAUGUGAGAGACUGAGAGCUACUGUAUCCCUUUCAGAUGUUUGGGGAAAUUUGUACCAUCACUUUGGCACUGUUACUUAUUCUUAUGAGCCAUUGUUCAUGAAACAGCUGCAGGUAAUUGAGGAAAUGUACAGUGAUAAGUCAAUUAUGUGCUUUAUUACUAUCACCAAUGGAGGGUGGAAAGGACGAAGGUUAAAGUUGCUAUUUUGCUU